rnacentral:rRNA from 1 species
CAGCCGCCGCGGGAAUACGGAGGGCGCGAGCGUUAAUCGGAAUAACUGGGCGUAAAGGGCACGCAGGCGGUGACUUAAGUGAGGUGUGAAAGCCCCGGGCUUAACCUGGGAAUUGCAUUUCAUACUGGGUCGCUAGAGUACUUUAGGGAGGGGUAGAAUUCCACGUGUAGCGGUGAAAUGCGUAGAGAUGUGGAGGAAUACCGAAGGCGAAGGCAGCCCCUUGGGAAUGUACUGACGCUCAUGUGCGAAAGCGUGGGGAGCAAACAGGAUUAGAUACCCCGGUAGUCCCUGUCUCUUAUAA